AGGGCCGGGUAAGACCGGUGCCAGCCGCUGCGGUAACACCGGCGGCCCGAGUGGUAGCCGCUAUUAUUGGGUCUAAAGGGUCCGUAGCCGGUUYGAUAAGUCCUCUGGGAAAUCUGGYUGCUUAACAAUCAGACUGCCAAGGGAUACUGUCGAACUUGAGACCGGGAGAGGUAAGAGGUGCUUCAGGGGUAGGAGUGAAAUCUUGUAAUCCCUGGGGGACCAUCUGUGGCGAAGGCGUCUUACCAGAACGGGUCUGACGGUGAGGGACGAGAGCUGGGGGCGCAAACCGGAUUAGAUACCCGGGUAGUCCCAGCCGUAAACGAUGCUCGCUAUGUGUCCGGUACGGUGUGACCGUAUCUGGUGCCGUAGGAAGCCGUGAAGCGAGCCACCUGGAAGUACGCCGCAAGGC
rnacentral:rRNA from 1 species